GACCGGCAACGACUAUAUAGUUGUUGUAGAGGAGACAUUGGCGCAUCGUGUAGAAAAAAAAUCCAGAUCACUUUAUGUUCGAAAAUCUGAAGUUGGGGUUAAAAAACUGAAAUUUACAAAAUGAGAUUUGGGGGUUGGGCACUCAAAGUUAAUUUUGGACCAAUUUAUAGAGAUUGUAAGGGGCAACGACUAUAUAGGUGUUGUAGAGGAGACAUUGGCGCAUCGUUUAAGAAAAUCUCCAGAGUGGUUUAUGUUCGAAAAUCUGAAGUUACGGUUAAAAAACUGAAAAUUUUAUUGUGAAAUUGACAAAAUGAGAUUAGGGGGGUAGGGCACUAAAAGAAAAAUUUGGACCAUUUUAAAGAGAUUGUGAAGGGCAACGACUACAUAGGUGUUGUAGAGGAGACAUUGGCGCAUCGUUUAAGAAAAUCUCCAGAGUGGUUUAUGUUCGAAAAUCUGAAGUUACGGUUAAAAAACUGAAAAUUUUAUUGUGAAAUUGACAAAAUGAGAUUAUGGGGGUAGGGCACUAAAAGAAAAAUUUGGACCAUUUUAAAGAGAUUGUGACGGGCAACGACUAUAUAGGUGUUGUAGAGGAGACAUUGGCUCAUCGUUUAAGAAAAUCUCCAGAGUGGUUUAUGUUCGAAAAUCUGAAGUUACGGUUAAAAAACUGAAAAUUUUAUUGUGAAAUUGACAAAAUGAGAUUAGGAGGGUAGGGCACUAAAAGAAAAAUUUGGACCAUUUUAAAGAGAUUGUGACGGGCAACGACUAUAUAGGUGUUGUAGAGGAGACAUUGGCGCAUCGUUUAAGAAAAUCUCCAGAGUGGUUUAUGUUCGAAAAUCUGAAGUUACGGUUAAAAAACUGAAAAUUUUAUUGUGAAAUUGACAAAAUGAGAUUAGGGGGGUAGGGCACUAAAAGAAAAAUUUGGACCAUUUUAA